UAUAAAAAUUUUCUAUUUCUUGUAAACUUCCUAAUAAGUUAUUUAUGUUUCAUGAUCUUCAUUAGAUGAGGAAAUUCUUAUUAAUGAUAUAUCUUACUAUGUAACUAUUGCAAUUCAUAGAGUAUGGAAGAGAAGGACGAGUAUCCGCAAAUGGAGAUGUUUAUAGCUUCGGGAUUAUGUUAAUGGAAACCUUUACUGGGAAGAAACCCACAGAUGAAAUUUUUAACGGAGAAAUGACAUUAAAGCAUUGGGUUAAUGAACUGCUACCCAUUUCCACUAUGGAAGUUGUUGAUGCUAAUUUACUAAGGCAGGAGGACAUACAUUUUGCCGCAAAAGAGCAAUGUGUGUCAUUUAUCUUCAAUUUGGCUAUGGCGUGCACUGUGGAAUCUCCUGAGCAGAGAAUCAAUGCAAAAGAAAUUGUAAAAAAGCUUUUAAAAAUUAGAGACUCAUUACUUAGAAAUGUUGGAGGCAUAUGUAUAAGACAAUCAAAUUUAAAUUGAUUCUGCCCCUCCUUAAUUGCUUGCUAUCCUUUUCAGAAACUUGAACGGUUAUCCUUCAUACAAGUUUCGUUGAUAUGUUUUGUUAUUGCUCUUGCUCAUGUUUAUUUCUCUGUUUCUUUAAUUUGCAUGCAUGUAUUUUUCUUGCUCCUUUAUGUUUUUGUUGGUUUGUAUGUAGUUUGUUUUUGGGGGUAAGGUUGAUUAUGUCCUCCCCUAAUUAGACGUAUCCUUUUUAUUUUUAUUCAAUAAAGCUUCUGUAAUACUAUCAAGGUUCAUCAAAAGAAAAUUUUAAAUUAAUUUUCUUUUCUAUGUUAGAUAAUGAAAUUCUAAUCUUCAUAGUGAAUAACUUCAAUAAUAAAGUGUAAGAGUAUUAGUAGUUAUGGUUGUUUUCUGAACCUGGAGUCAAGAGCAAUUUAACAGCAACAAACAAGUCUCUUGUAUAAUAGGAAAAAUUCUUUUCAUUAAUCUUAUUUGUCUACAUGUUCUCCAAUUUUCUCCAUUAAUCUUCGCUCAAGGUUUCAUGCUUCCUCUUUGAUAAAGGAAAAUAUUACUCGUGAAUAUUUCAAAUUUUCAAUUUGACAUGAGCGACUGUUUGCCAGCCAUUUGAUAAAAUGGAUAUGAGUGGAGUUUUCAAUCAUUACCUCCUCCAAAAUCCUUACAACACCACUUUUUAAUUUUAUUUUUUAUAAUCCAUUCAGUUUAAUUUAAAAAAAUAAAUCCAUUUGUGGAAUUUAAUCUUUUUCUCAUAAAUUUCAACCUAAAAAAUAUAUUUCUCUUAAAUUUUUAUUACAAAAUAUUUACAAGUUCUAAACUAUUAAAUUAUUUUCUUCUUAUUAUAUAGUUUAUAUCUCCAUAACUCUAAACUCCUAUAAUUUUUUUAAAAAAUAUUUUUUAAUUUAAAAUAUAAAUAUAAAAUAUAGAAUGGAGUGAGAAUAAAAAAACUUGUUAAAAGAAUAAUUCAUUUAAGUAUUUAACUGAAUUUUAAAUUAAAAUAAGAAAUAAAUUAAUUUAUUUUUAUUAGUUAAGUAAUUUUCAAUUGAAAAAAAGCUUUUAGUAAUAUUAUUGAAAUAUGAUUAAAAUUCUUAUGAAUUAAACAUUUCGUAUAAAUACUAGUGAUAAUUACAGAGAAAGUAUGAUGAAGUGAAAAAACUUAAAUAUAAAUACUCUAGUAUAAUUUUACACAUGCAACUUAUGAACCAGUGAUCUUUAGAGCAUCAUAAAAUUGUUUUAACACAAUUAAUUGGUUUGAAAAAUUGCCAAUAAUGUCUACAAUGGGAUUUAAAAGAUUAAACUACAUAUAUAAGACAUGAUAUCAUUUAAGACGACUUACAGAUUAUGAGAAAUAUUUUGAUCUUCCAAAUAUUUAAAAUGUCAAUUAGACUGAGUCUAUGCAAUGAAAAUUUCAAAUAAAAAAUAAACCCUUUAUCUUCUUUUAAUCAUAAGUGUGAUCUUAAUCAUUAAAGUCAUUUAAUGUCCAUUACUUAUUCAUUUUUUUAAUUACCUAAAUGACAUUGAAAACUCUACUCAAUAUUAAUUCAUUCAAAUGUUUUGUUUUAAGGUAAUCGGAAACUGCAAAUGAAACAAAUGCUUGAAAUCACAAACGGCCUAAAAUUAGAUUUUCAUUUUUCAAUGUUGCAGUGACUUUGAUGUUGAUAUUGAAAUUUUAUUUGUAACUUAUAUAAAGGCCUCAAUUUUAUCAUAAUUGGUUAGUAAGGCUACGUAGGGACCAUCGAUAAAUUUUGGGAUUGGAUUAUAUUUUUGGAACUAAAAAUUUAAUUUCAUCCUAUGUUAUGUUUGGCUGUUAGGACUAGCAACUUACUCUAAAAUUAUUGAAAUUAUUGAUGUUUUAUAUUAUAAUCUUUUCAUUACAACUUUAAACAUUAUUGGUAACUUAAAUCAUUUUUUAAAUUAAAUAUAAAAAUUAAUUUAAUUAAAUAUAAAAAUCAUUUAAAUUAAAUAUAAAAAUCAUUUAAAUUAAAUAUUAACAUUAAUUCAUAAUUUUUUACCUAGAAUUUUAUAUUAUAUUAAAUACUAAAAUUCUAUUCGAUAAUGUAUUAUCAUUUAUUUAAUAAAUGUUUAGUAUGUUAUAUUAUUAUUUAAAUUAAUUUUUUAUUUACAUAUAAACAUAAAUUAUUAUUUACUAAUUUAAAUUUAUUAUAAUUAGUUAAAUAAUAAAACAUAAAUGAUUAUAUUGAAAAUAUAAAUAGUAUUCUAAUGUAUUAUAGUCUAAAUCUUACCCCUAUGAGAUUAUUUUAUACACCUUUUAUUAUAUUAACCACAUUUAUAAUGCAGUGCAAUGUAACAAAAAAUUAUAACCAAAUAUGAGUUAGCAUGAAAAUAAUAUUUUAGUGCAAUAUAAUACAAUGUAAUGUAAGCUAACAAAUGGAUAUUUAAUGGAAGCAAAAAUUGCAUAUGGCUUGUGGGUCUCUUAAAAGACAAUGAAUAAACCAAUAUGAUACACUGAUUCUGUCAUCUUUAAUGGUGUCUUUACUAAAUGGGAAUCAGAAUAAGUUAGAAUUGGAAUGAGCUUGAAUCGAAAUAAGGAAUUAGAAUAAAAAUGAAUUGUUUAUUUAAUUUGUAUGAAUCAGAAUCGGAAUAAAUUUUACUCAAAUUAAUAUGUUUAUUUUCUCUUAAAAUUAUAAUGCACUAUUACAAGUUACUAAAAAAUCAUUUGGUAAUUGUUGUCUCUACUACCACUACUACUACCACAACUACUACUACUACUACCACUACUACCACUACUACUACCACUACUACUAGUACUACUACUACUACCACGACUACUACUACUACCACGACUACUACUACUACCACGACUACUACUACUACCACGACUACUACUACUACCACGACUACUACUACUACUACUACUACCACUACUACUACCACUACUACUACUACUACCACUACUACUACUACUACCACUACCACUACUACUACUACUACUACUACUACCACUACUACUACUACUACCACCACUACUACCACUACUACGACCACUACUACCACUACUACCACUACUACCACUACUACUACUACUACUACUACUACCACUACUACUACUACUACCACUACCACUACCACUACUACUACUACUACCACUAUUACCACCACUACUACUACUACUACUACUACCACUACCACUACUACUACCACUACUACUACUACUACUACUACUACCACUACUACCACUACCACCACUACCACCACUACCACUACUACCACUACUACUACUACUACUACAGUCUCUCAUUUUCUAUUUCUAAUUUGAUGUGGGUCUUACUAUUUGGAUUCCAAUUCUUAUAUUUAUUUGUGAGACAAAAUUAUGGUGCAACUGUAGUACCAUUGGAUUCAGCUACAGUUAUCAUCAUGACUUGAUAUAAUGAUUAAAAGUAAUUGUGGUACAUUUAUUUAUGAAGUAAAAUGAUGUUAAUAAUUUCGAUUUCCAAUUCGAGAAGUAAACACAUCAUAAUAUUUUUUUAGAUGCUUCUAUGCCAUAAUCUCAUUGGUCCAUUUUUCUUCACGCCUUAGAUUCAACUUCAAGAUUCAAGAUUCAAGAUUCAAUUUGAAGCAAACACAACUACAAAACAAAUAUAAUAAGCGUUAAUAAGCCUGUGGCUGACUGGCUGUGGCCAAGCAAAUGUACUACCUCAUAGUGAUUAGUGACCGUAUCAUAUCUUAUUAUCUUACGCCAGAAGCUAAACAAUGUUCCCAUUCCACGUGUCACUCUCUGACCAAUCCCCGAACUUUCUUCAUAUUUCCAAAGAAACCCUCACCAAGUCAAGAUAAUUACCUUCACUCUACUCAUAUAAAUACUGUCCUCCAUUCGACUGAUGUCUGAUGACGACAUAUCCUUAGUCUUUAUUUAAAAGGGGAAAUUAUAAAAAAUUCUCCUCGUUCCCUGAAAAUCUAGGGUUUCUCAAGAAUCGCUAAACCUAGGUCCCAAUCCUUCAAAAUCUCAAUUUAAACUCUCUAGGGUUUCAAUUGUCGAGCAUUCGCUUCAAAAUUUAGUAUUUUUUAGGGGAUUUUGCUUGUCUCGUAUCCUUCAAUUGUUGUUCGGUUCUGAAAAUAAUUUGGAAUUUUAGGGAUUUUCAGAUUAUUUGGUUUUGCUUGAGCGCAAUUUCCUCUAGUUACGGUUUCAGUUUGAAGGGUUAAGUGCGAUUUCGAAUAUUUUUAUAAAAUUAAAAUUAAAAUUCAUAAAACGAUUGGGCGUUUAAUAAUUAAUUGAUGGCUAGCGAUACUACAACGGCGGCCGCAGCUGCGGAAGAAGCAGAGGCGGUGGAGGAGUAUGAUAGCGAUCCAGAUGAAGUGAAACGCUCUCUUGCGAUGCGCAGAAGGGAAGCCAGCGAUGAGGAGGUUGAGGAGGAUAAAGAUUCAGAGCUUCCAAUAGUUCAAAGUGUCCACAUUCCUGCGGGAAGCCGAGGCUGUGGAUGAGUAUGAGAGCGAUCCAGAUGAAGUGAAACACUCUCUCAUUAUGCGCAGAAGGGAAACAAGCGAGGAUGAUGAGGAGGAGACAUAAUUUGAGCGUCGAAUGAAUUGAAGGGUCCAGAUUCACUCUUACAUUGAAUCUGAUGGCCAAGGUGGUGCUCCAGCUGAGUAUGAUGAUGAAGAAGAAGAAGAGGAACAUGACAGAGAAUUAGAAGAAGAAGAUGAAGAAGGGGAUGUUUAUGAGGCUGUAGAGGAAGAAGAAGUUUAUGAAGAAGAGGAGAGGAAUGAUGGGGCUGUUAAAGUCAAAGGAAUAGAGGGUAAUGAUGCAUGAGGAGUACGGAGGGUGCAGUGGAAGUGAGUAAAGGGAAUAAUGAUAAUCGCAAUGGUGCUAAAAGAAUGAUGCAGCAGAGGAGGGAAUGGAGGAAGAGAAGAAGGAGAGUAAUGAGCCUUUUGCACAGCAGCUGGGGCUUUUUAUAUGGGACAAUGUUGCAGGUCGACACAGGUAUUAUUUGAUUUGAGUGACAAUUUAUAAAUAGCUAAUAGCUAUGGGACAAUGUUGCAGGUCGACACAGGUAUUAUUUGAUUUGAGUGACAAUUUAUAAAUAGCUAAUAGCUUUACUUUCAUUAGGGCUUGUCAAUUAAUCCAGUCUCAAGUUUUGGUGCUGUAUAAUGAUUGUUUGCUGGAAUCUGUGUAGAAGGCUUUUGGCCUAGUAGGUUGAAAGGAGAGAAAGUUCUCAAAUAAACAUCUGUGCUUUGUGGAAUAUAAUUAAUAGGUACAAAGCAUACUAAAUUACUUGACAGAUAGAUGCCGAGCUAAUCAUGGGCUAUGAUAGCAUUAUCCGUGCUUUCUGUAUUUUUAAUAGGGCUUGUCUAUUUCAAAGUGUGUAGUGUAGAAUUUUUGGGUUUAGUUUGAGUGAUGAAGUGUUAGAUAGGUUUCUGUUUGGCAUAGUUAAGUGGUUAAUACGAGCUAUUGAAGCAAAUAUGGAGUAGGAUAUCUAGUUUUGGGUUUGGUCUUAGUUUGAAGAUGGCUACUGAUUAUGCAGCUAGGUACGUAUUAGUGUUUGUGGAUUGCUAAAUGCUUUCUGUCAAAUGUGAGUAGAUUAUUACUUGAAGUGCAUGGAUCUUACACUUAAUUAAUUAUAUAUCCAUUUGUAAUGUUCAAAAUGAUCAUGUACUAUUGCUUAAAAUUAUGUUUUCAAGCCAUGGUUGUAAUGUGUCUCUAAAUUCAGUAAUACAAGUUCUGUCAAUUGCUGUCGGAUGGCAGUGACUUGAAUAGUUUAAUGUUCAUUUGCAGACAAAAUUUGAGAAAGAAAACUAAAAAUUUCUGUGCGUUCUGCUGGAAAUUUAAUUAGCUUCAUUUGAGCAUUAAUUGCUGGCAUUAUCUCUUAGAUUUCUCUUGCAUUGAAUGAAUGGAUGAGUGCUAAUCCAUGCAAAGACUCCCAUGCAUACACAAUGAAUGCUUCAUCAAAGGUAUGGUAAAAUGUCAACACGCUUGGCCCAAAUUAUCAAGCUGGUGUGGUGGCUGCUAGAUUUGUUCAUCCGGAUUUUGGACCAUUUUCAUUGACAAUGAGAAAAGCUGCAAGAUCUGUAAAUCGGAAACUCAUUGAAGUGCCAAAAGAGAGAUGGAAGUGAAUAACAAGAGAGUUAGUGAAGAGAGGGUGCAGUGAUUGUGUGGGAAGCUUUGGGUUUACUUGGGGUUUGGAUGUGAGAUAAAAUAAUUUGAGAGAGAGGUUGUAACAAUUUUUCGGUAAUAGAGUUUUUCAGGUAACUCUUGUGUUGUGUGAUUAGAGUAUUCUCUAUUGUAUUUUGUUUUUUGUUAUUUAUUUGACGUAUUGCUAGCGGAGAUCUUGGGUGGGAACCAAAAAUUCCCAACAAUUGUCAAUUGUUUUAAACUCUAUUUCGAACAGAGCAUGAAGGGAUUCACUUAUCUGAUUAUGUCUUUUAUGCUUUAACUUCACUUGAUUUCAUCUUGUCUGUCACCUUUAUUAAAGUUGUAUAUGUUGGGAGUAUUAGGUUCAUCACAGGGAUCAUAUUAUGGCUAAGGAAGGGGCACAGUUUAUCAGCUGCACUCAAGUGUAGCAGAGUAUUUGGAUUCAAGACUGUUAGAAGGUUGUUACAAUGCAAGGCUGUUGCUGUGUAACUGUAUGCCAUUCUCGCAAGUGCACUCUUAACAGAUUGCUGAGGUGGCACCGGAUGUUUUUAGCUAAUAUUAGUUAUUGGUCUAGAGUGUUCUGAUUUAUUCUAUAAAUAGCUCAUUCGAGCUUAGAACCUUUAUAGUGUAUCAUAGGUUUCUGUUUCUUCUAAUAACGAUUUUCUCUAUUCCUUUUUCUUUCACUUUCUCUUUCAUUUUCAUGAUCCCCAAACACCAUCAAUCCAUGAUUUUCUAGAGUAUUAGUUGUCUAUUUCUACAAACAUAGAAUUGUUGUUUUAAGAAACAAAGUACUCUGUCCUGUCACCCGCGGUCUUCUUGUUUAUCGACUUGUGAACAGGGCUAAAUAAACGGCAAAUAAGAUAUUGGGUCAAUGGGUCUAACGUGACAAGAUAUUGAAUUAUUGCCCUUUUCUUGUCUCCACAAAUUUUUGGUAAAUUUUUAGGUUCCCUCAACUUUUUUCUCCUUUAGCACUAAAAUUCAUUUUUGAUACUUUAUGCAAAAAUUAUGAUGAAAAUGAGUCACUUUAGAACAUCAAUAAAUUUUUAUUUUUACAUCCAAGAUGACGAUAGUUACACUUAGAUCACUCUCAUUUAGUUGAAUUAUAUAGGUAAUAAAGUUGGCUUAACAAAAUAUGAUUCUUAACUGUUGUAAUUAAGGGCUAGUAUUCUUUGGUUUUAGUUGUAGGGUUUAUAAUGCUGUGGCUCAGUUCUUGGUGGGUUCGAAUUAUUAGACGAUCAUUCUCAAUCCUUUACGAUUCAUAAUUAAAAAUUCCUAUAUCACAAUUAGAACUUACAAACAAGUCAAAGUGGGUUAAAUCUUAUGUAUAAAUUUGAGGUCUAUUACAAACUUUUAAAAAAGAUUUUUACCAUAUAAAAAAAUACUAUUCCAAAAAAAAUUGAAAAUCCAACCAAUUGAAUCGGUUCAGUGUCACUCAAAAUGUGUGUGUGUGUGUGUGUAAAACAACACAAUUAUCAUAUUAAUGAGGCACUGUUAAAUUCAUUCAAUGAAUAUUUUUCUUUUUCAUUUUCAAUGAAUGCUUAAAAUGACAAACAAUCGCUUGUUUUACAAUUCUUUUAUAUAUCUUUGAAACUUUCAGCUUCCCAACACAUCAUAUUGUUCUCAAUUCGUCUAAAUUAUUAUUAUUUUUUUUUCAAACACUGCAGCAACAACCAGUAUAAAAUAGAAUAAACUCAUUUAAUGGAAAUUUUCCUAGAGGCUUUCAUGGCAGAAUCUCAUUGGUCUAUUUCUCUUCGCACCUUAGGUUCCUCUAACAAACCUACCUCUUAACUCUCAUGUCCGAAUUUAAACUUAAAAGAUGUUCCCCGUCCCACGUGUCCCCAAAUAUUUGUAUUUCCAAACAAACCCCUGCCAACUAAGUCAAGUGAUAGGAUGGCUUUUAUUACAAACUGUAUGAACGUUAUGGCCAUGGGACAUUGGAUAAAACUAAUGGAAUGUAAAGCAAAAUUACCGAUUAAACUAAAUUGAAAAUCCAACCAAUUGAAUCGGUUCAGUGUCACUCAAAAUAUGUGUGUGGUGGUGUGUGUAAAACAACACAAUUAUCAUAUUAAUGAGGCACUAUUAAAUUCAUUCAGCGAAUAUUUUUCUUUUUCAUUUUCAAUGAAUGCUUAAUAUGACAAACAAUCUGUCCCAUUGAGCACUGUUUAAGUCAUUCAAUGAAAAUGAAUACUUCUAUAACAAAACAAUAAUUCCCUUUUUUAUUUGACACGCAAAGAAUUUUCUUGCUCAGCUCGGCGGCCAAUCCUUUAAAAUUUGUUAAAAUUCAGUUAAUUGAUGAACGAGACAUAACCCAAUAAAUCGUUUAAUUUGUAUAAUUGAUAAAAAUUUGAACUUCAAAUAAAAUAGAUAGAAUGAUUAAUUUUUUUCAUAUUUAGAUAAUUGAUAUAUGUCAUGUUACUAUGAGUAAAAGAAUGAAGUGUAUGAUAGAAAACAUAAUGUUUAUGUUUGUAUUAAAAAUUUUAAGUGCAAAUCUAUUUAGUGUAGGUUAGACAUAAAAAUAAUUACCAACUUGUCUUGUUUCUCAUUUUGUUUAAUUUUCCUAAUUUGAAUAACUAUUAAUUAUGAGUCAAGGGUUUAUUGCAAAAAUAUGGUCUUCCAUUUACUAUAAAAAGAUUAGCGUGAUUUAAUUAUUUUUCUUUUUGCUUGGUGUCUGUAAAAUUAUGAAUACUUUGGUAAAUAAGAUAAUUAUAAAUACCAUUUUGAAAACCCAUGGCCAUGGUUGUGAUGUAUCUUUAUCAAUCACGGAUACAAAAAUUAAUCAAAAUUAUCGAUUGAUUACUUUUUAUACUUUGACUUCACUUAAUACAGCUUCUUCCUCUUUUAACUGUAUGCCAUGCCGGCAAGUGUAUUGUACAGAUUACUGAGCUAGCACCGAUAACUAAGCUAAUUAUUAGGAAUCAAUCUAGAGCGUACCUGUAAAUACAAUAGGUUGCUUAGGUGGCACCAAUAUAUUAACUUUAUGCCGUGUUUCUGGUGUGUCUUCACAAAUUCACCGAUAAAAAUUAAUUUCUACCAAUAUUACCAAAUGAUUGUAUUUUACGUUUCUAUUUACUUGUAAUAAAGAUCUUCCAUGUGUAUAUAAGUGUUGAUUUUUAACUGAUAGCUGAUAGCUGUAUUUUCAUGGUCAUUCAAUUUUAUUGGGUACAAAAUUCUCUAGGAUUGCAUGUACAUUAUACUUUUAUAUACAUAUUUUCUUCUUUCUCAUUCGUUUUCUGGGUGAACAUAUUAUUUUCGUCAUCAUCUCUAUAACAAUCAAGUAAAAAUAGUCCUCAUUUAAAGUAUUGGCAGCAAUGUUAUACUCAAUAUAACGUAUAAAGCACGCAUAAUUUACUCAAUGGGGUAGCUGCUAGUACCUUCUUUAGAAGAGAAUUAUUGCGGCAAGGUAAUUGGAAGCUCAAAGAGUUUCCGUAUUAGCCGAAUCUAAGCGAUAAGUGUUUCCAUGUGAGCCAUAAUUUGGGAAAAAGACCAAUUCGAGUUAAAGAUCAGAAAACAAACAGUGUCAACAAGCAUUAAUGUCAUUUGAUGCAUGAAAGACAAUUAAUCCCAUUUUUUGUCCUGUUUACUUGGCUUGGGCAAUUUGCCGUCAACUUUUCUCAUCCACGUCAGGUAAUGUGGGUUUUAUUUGGUAUGAAAAAGCCAAUGCUUUACGAUAAAACUAUCACACGCAUAUUAUCCAUCUGUAAUGUUCAAAUGACACUCAAGUAUUACCCAAAUUAGCCUUUCAAAAAUUCAUUUUCAAAAACCCAUGGUUGUGAUGUGUCUCUAUAAAUUAAGAUCUAUCUGUUACUAACUGUUUUAACUCUAUUCUGAACAGAGCUUGAAAGGGUACAUUCACUUAUCUAGUUAUGUUUUUUAGGCUCUCACUUUACUUGAUUCACUUUAUCCCUCUUUUGAAACAAUUGUUCACUGGCUGCACUCAGUUGACAGAAUAUUUUGGGAUUCAAGACUGUUGGUUGUUACGGAUGCAACUUGCAAGGCUGUUGCCAUGCUGGCAAGUGUGCUGCUAUAACAGAUUGUUGAGAUGGCACCAAAGAUUGUAAACUAAUUAGUACUGGAAAAUCAUGAGUUUGAUGAUGAAGAGGACGAAAAAUAUUAUUUUAUUAUUUAAAAAUAAGACUAUCAAUUAUUUCCAUGGUCAUCUUAUUUUUUUUUAAUUAAUUGGCCUAAAUAUUGUAUUUUUUGUCAGGAGUCUUGCAAUGCUGCGUAGCACCGUAAGUAAGAAGAAACGUGUCUAAGGUUGCCACGUGUUGUCUCAACAUCUGUGUGAAAACCGAAUUAACCAGUUUGCGUUCGACAACAAAGGAAAAUGCUUCUUGUUGCUGACCGAUUGCUAAGUAUUUCAAUACCUCCACCAAAAUCUUUAUAACACCCUUUUUAAUUUUAUUUCUGAAGAGUAAUGAUGUAGUCAUAAAUUCUUGUACAAACUUAUUUUGUACAAACUGACGUGGCAUGAUAAGAUUGGUUGAAUUAAAUAUCACUUGACCCACAUGAUUUGUUUUUAUUAUUUUAUAUUUUCAUUCAACCAAUGAAUUAAUGACACGUUAGUUUGUAUACAAUAAGUUUGUACAAAAGUUUGUGGCUGUAUCAUUACUCUUUUCUAAAAUACACUUAGUUUAAAAAAAAAAAGAGCUUUAUGAGAAAUUUUCAGUGUGUCAAAAGGCCUACUUAAUGGACUGGAUCCCGACUCAUUAAUUUUAUAACCCGACUUACAAUCCGACUCAUUAUUCACAGAGAUUAAUUUUCUAUUGCUUAAGGCACAAUAUUUACUAAGCAAUUUAUCGGCAAUAAAACAUGUAUAUUAUAGUGGUUUGUAAUAAAAUUGGAAGAAGACAUCACGUACGAAUUGGAUUUAUCCCAUGAAAUUUGAUUAACGAAAGUGUAUGAAAAUCUAUAAAGAAAAUAGUAAAAACAAUUGUUGUGUAAAUGUUGUAUAGGUGAUAUAUUACUUUUAUAAUCCAUCAAGGUACAUUUGAUUUUAAUGAUGAAACAAAUACAAAUAAAUCCAUGUAUGUCAAUGCUAGAUGGUUCCAUAUUAAACUUGUGAAGUAUAGAAAAUAAGCGAGAUUCGUAAAAAAAUAUUUUAGAUAAUACCACUGAAAAGUUAUAAAAAAUAUUUAAAAAAAAGAAAUACAUACUUGAGACACCAAGACUGAUACGCACAAACUCACACAUUUACAUAUUAAUUGAGGGAAAAAAAUAAUAUUCUGAGUAAUAUUGUUGACAUAUGAUUAAAAUUCUUUUUAAUGAAACAUUUUCGUAUAAAUACUAGUGAUAUUUGUAGAGAAAGUAGAAUGAAGUGAAAAAAAAACCUUGAAUAUAAAUGCUCCAAUAUAAUUUUUCCCAUGCCAAUUAUGAACUAGUGAACUUUAAAGCAUCAUAAAAUUGUUUCAACAUAAGUAAUUAGUUUGAAAAAUUGCCAAUGUGGGAACGAAAAGAUUAUACUAUACAAGACACGAUAUUAUUUAAGACAACUUGUAAAUUAUGGGAAAUAUAUCGAUCUUACAAAUAAUAUUUAAUAAGUACAAAUUUCAAAUUAAAUAAUAAAUCCUUAAUUUCCCUUUAAUCAAAAUUAUGAUCUUAAUAAUUAAAGUCAUUCAAUCUUAAUCACUUUUUCAUUGUUUUAAACUAUCUAAAUGACAUCGAAAACUCUACUCAAUAUGGGAUUUUUAUUUAAUUAUUUAAUAAUAUACUACUAUCUAAUAAAUCAUUAAUUUCCUUUUAUUCGAAUUUAAUAAUAUACAUAAUUUGAGCGUCGAAUGAAUUGAAGGGUCCAGAUUCACUCUUACAUUGAAUCUGAUGGCCAAGGUGGUACUCCAGCUGAGUAUGAUGAUGAUGAAGAAGAAGAAGAGGAACAUGACAGAGAAUUAGAAGAAGAAGAUGAAGAAGGGGAUGUUUAUGAGGCUGUAGAGGAAGAAGAAGUUUUUGAAGAAGAGGAGAGGAAUGAUGGGGCGGUUAAAGUCAAAGGAAUAGAGGGUAAUGAUGCAUGAGGAGUAUGGAGGGUGCAGUGGAAGUGAGUAAAGGGAAUAAUGAUAAUGGCUAACGAAGGACCACAGCUCAUUGGCUGCACUCAUGUGUAGCAAAGUAUUUGGACUCAAGACUGUUAGAAGGUCGUUACAGACGCAAGACUGCUGCUGUGUAACGGUAUGCCAUGCUGGCAAGUGGGGCACCAAAUAUUGUGAGCCAGUAUUCGUAAUUAGUGUAGAGUGUUCUGAUUUAUUCUAUAAGUAGCUCAUUCGUGCUUAAAACCUACAUGUAUUGUAUGUUUCUAUCGGUAAUUUGAUUACCUUUCCGUACUUUAUCAAUCAUUGAAUGAUUUUACUGGUUUAAUUGCUUGAUUGUUUGAGUAUAAUCGGUAAUUUGAUCGUCUGUCAGCAAGUGAUUUACAAUUCACUCUCCAAUUUUCAUUAAUUUAGUGUAGCAAAGCUUUAACUAGAUAGGUAGAUAACGUGGUCAUGAAAACUUGAUUAAGAGUUUAGUGCAAUCAAAUCUACUUUAAUGAUUAUUUAAUGCACGGAGAUUUAACAUCAAUUAUCAUCACGUUAUUCUAACAACGAGAUUGCAGAGCUUGGAUCUUUACUCGAACAGUUUCAAUUCCUGUAUGAUCAUUUCCCCAACUAUUAUUUGAAUAAUUAUUUAAUGCCGUUCAUUCCAGCUCUGUUUGGCUGUUAACUUUAUUUUGUUAUUUAUGAGGAGAUUCAUUUCUCACCUGAAGCUAGAAAUUUACGGAUCAAUGACUUUUUAUUUUUUCUUUUAUAUGAUAGCUUGCAAUCCCUGGUGUCUGUUGAUAGUGCCUUACAUGAAUACAAAAAUGAACAAUUUUUUUUUUUUUGGGGCCAAUUGCAGUUUUGAUAACAACUAAAAUCUGUGUGGUCCAGUUACCACAGAGCCUUGCCCAAGAUCCCUGCCAUUUUCUCCUCCACCUCCAUUUGGGGAAAUUACUACUUACUUUUUGCAAGUUUUUCUUGAAAUAUUUAUUUUGAGAAGAAAACCAACAAUACAUUUUAUGAUUUGGGCUCUUUCAAAGAUCUUCGCUUGAUGUCUCCGCUACUGGUUUUCAGUAGAGUGCCCAAAAAUAAUCAGUGCACGCACUAUAGGCUCUAUUAUUAUCAGUAAAAAGCACUAAUGAUAUAAUGGGAUCGACCUUUUUAUUUGGGAGUGGAAGGAUGCUUGAAAGAGUAGAGUGGUGCAUCUUGUUCAAACAUGCACCGUAGAGCCAAUUCCAUUUUAUGAAAUAGGAGUUAGACUGAACAACGUUAUGUCUUCGUUAUCAUUUCAGAAGGAAACAAAUCAAACAAUGCCGAAAUUGAGUGCCCACACAUUUUCAUGCCCAAAUUGAGUGCUGGAAUGGUGGUCAAAUCUCGAACGAAGACAGAUCUAUCAAACUCCAAAUCUCGAACAAGGAAUUAAAUCUGAAGUUUACGCGCAAACAAACUGAAAUCUGAAGUUUGCUGAAGUUAAGGGACAAGAGCGCAAAACAGAAACUCUGUCCACUACUGAUGAUAUAACAACGAACCUUUGUUUUUUUUUUUAAAAAAUAAUAAUAAUAAUACAACGAACCUUUUUUUUUAAAAAAAAAAAAAGAGUAACAAAAUAUCAUUGGACAAAUGAAAAUAUUUUUUCAUGUCGUUCAGAUAACUGAUUGAUAAAGUAUCAUUAGACAAAUGAACCUUUGUUACCUAAUUCAGCCUUGUUUUCUUUGAACCAGCGCCUGAUUCACAAGACUCCAGUAAUUUGGCUUUUGAUCAACUGAUUGAUAAAUGUUCAAUUUCUUUGGUGAUAAAUGUGUAUGUGAAGCAGGCAGCAGGGCAUGACUGUGGAAAAGAGAAGAUUUUAGUGAAAGGCGAGACUCAGAUAAUUCUACGCGUUUUGGCUGAUUUAUAUAAUUCGUGAAAUUUUAUUUCCAUCUGUUACAAGACAAACUGAAGCAUAACUCAAAGAAAAGUAUUCUACUUCUUGCGGCAAUCUUGCCUUCAUUCAGACUAUGAACCAUUUCCUUUCACCAAGUUCUUCCUAAACAUUGAAUAAGUUUCAUGGUUGGACAUAGUUAGCUUCUGUAUCUUUCGGUGCAUUUUGGUACUAUCAAGUGACAGCCGUAAAUAUGAUUGCAUUAUUGGGAAAUUUUACGAUUUGAUGGUUCCCCACGUUAUUGCCGAGAAAGUCCUCAUGUCAGAAGCUGCGGUUCUUUUCAUCAGCCUGAACCCGAACCUGUCGCUAUGGAUAAUUCAGGUUUUUGUCAUCAACUAUAUCAUCUUUUUCACUGUUUUGAAACUCUUAAUAUUAAACUUCAGUAAACUUCAGAUUUCAGUUUGUUUGCUGGAAACUUGUAUGGUGACAAGGAUACUUGCAAGGAUAAUGAGAUAGUUUUUUGUGUGAGUGAAUUUUGAGAGCUUGAGUGUUCUGGGAUUUGCAAUUGCAAUCAUCCUCUGUUUCUGGUGAUUUCUUCUCCUGCUCUGUCUUUAUUUGCUCUCUAAUUGAAAAGCAUAAAGUAUUUCAAUCAAAUUCUGUACCAGGAAUACUUUAAAGUUACUGAUACUUUAUUUCCAUCUGUUUGCAUUGAUAACUUGGCGGCAUAUGUACUAGUUAAAAAACAAACAGAAGUAGAGUUCAGGAAAAAGCUUCUUCGGCCACCAUAUUUGAAAAUGAAACCAUUUCCUGGAAGCAGUUGGCAGCAAAUUCGUAUAAAGUGUAGACAAUUAUUAGCAGAAAGGUGAUUCACAAUUUCAUUUUUUUAAAAAUGAAAUUAUUUGUUAAGUUGGAGCUGAUACUGUUAGAAGGCCAAUGAGCUAACCUAUGACACUGCUUGCCUAGUUUGCAGGAGGUCAAGGCUCAAAAGAAGCACUGAAUUUUAAAAGUCAUGCAAUAAUUCUUAGGGCCAUAUGUCAAUUCAUGUAAGUUUGAAUAAGUUUAAUGGUGGAACGCUUUUAGCUCCUUUUCCUUUCGUGCAUUUUGGGGUGCUAUCAAGUGACCGCCGUAUGUAUGGCUGCAUAUAGCUGCUUCUGGGAAAUUUGAGGAUUUGAUGGCUGCCCGUAUUAUUGUCUUAAAUUAGAUGUGAUAAACUGUUGCUUAGAGAUUCUGUUGCCGAGACUUUGCUCACAUCAGAAGCUGUGGAACCUGAACCCUUCUCUAGAUAUCAUCUUUUUCAUUGUUUUAAAACUCUCAGGAUUAAACUUAAGUAAAUUUGUUCGGUUGGCUAUAUAAUCAGGUCAAGUAUAUUGGGCAGGCAAAUGUCAAAACUGUUGUGUGCGAAAUGCGGAAUCAAGUGCACCAAAUAAUUACAGAAAAAUAAAGAACACAAGAAUUUACGUGGUUCGAUAAUUAAACCUACAUCCACGGAGGCAAGAAAGAAUAAUUGUUUAUUUAACAAUUAAUAGAGUACAAUAUUUGAGUAACGAAUCUCACUUCCUAAAAACCCAAAUAUACCCAGUACUCUCACACUCUGCAGGAAAGAUAAAUUCCCCAGACACACUUCUCUCACUUCUCUCAAAAGCUUAGAAACUUAUAAGCUUUAACAAUUUUGGGAUGAUUUCAAAUGAAUGAAAUCCUUAGCUAUUUAUAGGAGAAAUGAAUUACUAUGCUAAGAAUAAAAUAAUUAAAAAUUAUUUUAUUUUUAAUUAUUAUUAUUUUUCAAAUCCAUCCCCCGUUCUUUCUUUUCGACUUUACAAAAUCAACAAAUUGUUGGUGCACCAACAAUUUGUUGACUUCAACAAAUUUGCACCAAUAAUUUGUUGACUUCAACAAAUCUCCACCUCGACGAAAUUUUUUCAAAUCUGAGCCGACUACCAACGAGCCAUCAUCCCCAAAGUGGCUGCAUCUCUAUGACUGCCUACGUACCCAAAAUUUGAGAUCAAGUCAACCGUAGUUCAAAAAAUUCCCGAAGGACAUAUCUUAACACAAUCGAAGGAUUUGAAUUAAUUUCAAGCAAUGUUGAAACUUAACUCCAGAAACUACCUUCGUCAACAUAUCUGAUGGAUUAUCUUUAAUAUCAAUCUUUCUCAACAACACAACACCGCUCUCGAUGAUCUCUCUCACAUAAUGAUAUUUCACAUCUAUGUGCUUCGUUCGAGCGUGAUAUGUUUGAUUCUUCGCAAGGAAUAUCGCACUUUGAUUAUCACAGAAGACCGCAAUGUUCUCCUGAAUUACUCCCAAAUCACCUAACAAGCCUUUCAACUAGAUAGCUUCUUUUACAGCUUCAGUUGCUGCCGUGUACUCUGCUUCUGUAGUGGACAAAGCAAUUGUCGAUUGUAGAAUUGACCUCCAGCUAACCGGACCUCCACCCAAUGUAAAUACGUAGCCCGUUGUUGAUCUUUACCUAUCAAGAUCUCCAGCGAAAUCAGAAUCACAAUACCCAACACAUUGUUGACCACAAUCCUUCUUGAACAAUAACCCAACAUCAACUAUCCCAUACAGAUAUCGGAGAAUCCACUUUACUGCAAGCCAGUGACUUUUACCCGGAUUGUGCAUGUAUCUACUAACCAUGCUUACUGCUUGAGAUAUAUCUAGCCUUGUACAUACCAUAGCAUACAUAAGACUACCCACAGCACUAGCAUAUGGAACACGAGCCAUGUAAUCGCGUUACUCUUGAGAUUUAGGACAUGAAGAAGAGCUUAAUUUGAAAUGAGGAGCUAGAGGUGUACAUACCGGUUUAGUUUUGUCAUCCAUACCGAAUCUUUCUAGCACUUUCUUCAAAUAAGACUUUUGAGUCAACCAUACACUCCCAUUCUUCUUGUCUCUACAAAUCUCCAUCCCAAGUAUUUUCUGUGCAUCACCCAAGUCUUUCAUCUCGAACUCAGAAGCCAGCUGCUUCUUUAAUCUUUCGAUCUCAUCUCUAUUCUUCGAAGCUAUAAGCAUAUCGUCGACAUAGAGUAGCAAAUAAAUGAAAGCUCCAUCUGGCAGUCUUCUAAAGUAAACACAAUGAUCGUGUUCACUUCUGGUGAAUUUCUGCCCUUGUAUAAAUUGAUCAAAUCUUUUGUACCACUGCCUUGGCGAUUGCUUCAGUCCGUACAAAGAUUUAAUCAACCUCCACACAUGAUUCUCCUUUCCAACAACUCUGAAACCACAAGGCUGAAUCAUAUAGAUUUCCUCCUCCAAAUCUCCAUGUAAGAACGUUGUCUUAACAUCUAACUGAGCCAACUCUAACUCAUACUCUGCAACUAAGGCAAGUAGGAUACGAAUGGAAGUAUGUUUUACAACUGGAGAGAAAACUUCAUUGUAGUCAAUACCUUCCUUUUGAGCAAAACCUUUUGCCACGAGCCUUGUCUUGUAUCGAGGAGUUGUUUGAUACGGAGAUCCUUGCUUUUUUGUGUAGACCCAUUUAUUGCCAAUAGCCCUUUUCCCCUUUGGUAACUUUACAAGUUCCCAAGUCUGAUUUUGAUGGAGAGAUUUCAUCUCUUCCUCCAUGGCUAGCUUCCACUGAUCACUUUCACUGCUGCGUAAUGCUUCACCGAAAGUGUUGGGGAUGUCAUCAUCAAUAACUGGAAGUGCAUAGGCUACCACCAUAUCUUUAGUAAGUCAUCCGGGUUUCUUUAUCUCUCUUCUUGGCCUCCUUGUUGCUAUAAAAUUAUCAUCAUCUACAUCAUCAAUUGUUUCUUCAUUUUGUGGGACAUCAAAAGAAACAACCUCUUCUUCAACUCUAGGUGUCACCUCCAUAGUUGAACUAUUCUUUGAUGUAGAACUAACUGGUACAUAUGGAGUUGCAUCAAACUCCACCCGCUGCAAUACCUCUGUGGUCUUGUUCUCCAUCUGCUGAGAACUUGAAGCUUUUAUCAUUGAAGCUUCAUCAAAUGUGACAUCUCUACUACACACAAACUUUUUGUCUUCGAGAUCCCAAAACUUGAAGCCCUUUACUCCACCUUUGAAUCCCAUAAAGAUAGCUUUUCUAGCACGAGGAUCCAGUUUACCAUUUUUGACAUGAUAAUAAGCUGGACACCCGAAUAUACGAAGAGAAUCAUAGUCUUGUGCAUGCUUUCCAGACCACAUUUUCAUAGGAGUUUUACCUCCAAUUGCAGCAGAAGGCAACCGGUUUACCAAGUGACUUGCGUAGCUCACAGCUUCAACCCAAAACUUUUUUUCUAAACCAGCAUUAGAUAACAUACACCGUACCUUCUCCAGUAAAGUACGAUUCAUACGCUCAGCCACACCGUUCUGUUGCGGAGUAUAUCUCAUCGUGAAAUGUCUUUUAAUACCCUCGUUCUGGCAUACUUGCAAGAACAGAUCAGAAGUAUAUUCACCCCCAUUAUCAGAUCGCAAUACUUUGAUCUUUCUGCCAGUUUGAGUCUCCACUAAUUUCUUCCAUUUCACGAAAAUCUCUAGAACUUCAUCCUUUGCUCGCAUGGUGUACACCCACACACGUCUAGAGAAAUCAUCAAUAAAUGUAGCAAAAUAAUGGCUUCCACCAAUUGAUGCAGUCUUGGUUGGUCCCCAUACAUCACUAUGAACAUAUUCAAGGAUCUCACGAGUAUCGUGAUUAGUUGUACCAAACUUGACCCUUGUUUUCUUGCCUACUACACAAUGCUCACAGAAAUUUAAUUUACAAGUUUUGGUACCUUUUAAGAGUCCAUGCCUCAUCAGAGUUUGCAAGGACUUCUCUCCUGCAUGUCCCAGUCGUACAUGCCAUAGCUUGGUGGUGUCAAUGUGCAUCUCAACAACAUUUGCUUCAUCAGUUGUAUCUCCCUUCAAAUAGUACAGAUUGUGAUGCCGAACCCCUUGCAGAAUCACCAUAGCCCCAUGUGUAAACUUCAUUGUGCCAUCUUCAAUGGUAACUUUGUAACCUUUAGCUUCCAAAGCACCCACAGAAAUUAGAUUUUUCUUCAUCUCUGUAACAAAUCUAACCUCUUUAAGUUCUCUGACCAUUCCAUCAAACAUUUUAAGCCGAAUUGUUCCUAUCUCUAUUGUGAGAUAAGGUUAAUCAUUCCCCAUCACAACUACACCGAAUUCUAGAUUACGAAAAUCUGUAAACCAUUCCUUAAUAGAACACAAAUGAUAGGUUGCUCCAGUAUCAAGUAUCCACUAGCUCGAACUAGCUACGUAUGCUACAGGAGUAAUACUUAGUGAAUAAUCAGAGCCCUCAUCUUUCCGUGCCAUGUUUGCUGCUGCUGGUUUCUUCCCAUCUCUCUUUUGAGCCUUUAGACAAUCUUUCCUCCAAUGGUCAUUUUCAUGACAAAAGGCACACUCAUCUCGAGCUAUAUUUCUGCUUCUCGAUUUGGAUCGAGAAUUCUUUCCACCACGCUUCUUCUGUUUCUCCAUCGCCCAAUCUCUGCUCACCAAAGCUUCAGACGAUGCUCGUUCAGAAUUUUUAUCAUUAUUCCGAAUCUCUAAGCUAGUCAAUGCUGUGCAAACAUCUUUAAAGACGAUCUCACUCUUCCCAUAUAUCAAAGUAGUCACAAAAUGGCUAUAUUCCUCUAGUAGUGAGUGUAACAGAAUCAUAGCCUUGACUUCAUCCUUAAUAUCUUCAUUAAGAUUCUUCAAAUCAGCAAGUAAAUUUUCAAAUCUUGAAAUAUGAUCGUGCAUUGACACCCUAGGCUUCAUUCGAAAACCAUAUACUUGGCUCAUUGCAUGAAGGCGAUUUUCAGGACUUUUCACCAGGUACUUCUCCUCCAAUGUACGCCACAAAGUCACCGCACACUCCUCAUCUUUCACCAAGUAUUUCACCUCCUUGGUCAAACAAGAUCUGAUCUGACCAUAUGUUUUUUCAUUCAUACGAUCAUAAAUUUCUUCAUUAUACAAGUGUCUUUUAUUUUUCAAAACAACAUCGAGAUCGAUUUGAAUAAGGGCAUCCAUAACUUCGUGCCUCCACAUGCCGAAGUUGAUUUUCCCAUCAAACUUUUCAACAUCGAUCUUCUGGCCUCCUACAACAGGUGCUGAAUAGCGAUUUGACAAAUCUCGCCUCCCACCUGAAGUGUCUCCUGAAAUAGUGUCGGUAGAUCUCUCCCUAAUUCUGGAAGUUUCACCUUCUACCAUUUUCUCAACGAACUAUUUCCACUUGAAAAACAGUCUCUAUGAUGUUAAUUUCGUGUGAAUAAAUGCACCAGGAAAGUUCCCAGGAAACUGGACGGGAACUCGAUCUUAAUUAAAAACUAGAAUCCUUAGACUCUUAUCGCCUUUUUUGACAGAACUUUCCUAGACAUGCAAAAAUACACACUACUUACAAUAGAUUGUCUCCCAAGUACAAAUGGCCGUCUCUACCGUAUUCAUGAAUAGUACCGUAUGUGAACAGUACCGUAUACGGGAAUAAUACCGUAUACGUGAACAGUACCAUAUCCCCCCAAGUACGAACCGUCGGCUCUGAUACCACUUGUUGUGAGUGAAAUGCGGAAUCAAGUGCACCAAAUAAUUACAGAAAAAUAAAGGACACAAGAAUUUACGUGGUUCGGUAAUUAAACCUACAUCCACGGAGGCAAGAAAGAAUAAUUGUUUAUUUAACAAUUAAUAUAGUACAAUAUUUGAGUAACGAAUCUCACUUCCCAGAAACCCAAAUAUACCCAGUACUCUCACACUCUACAAGAAAGAUAAAUUCCCCAGACACACUUCUCUCACUUCUCUUAAAAGCUUAGAAACUUAUAAGCUUAACAAUUUUGGGAUGAUUUCAAAUGAAUGAAAUCCUUAGCUAUUUAUAGGAGAAAUGAAUUACUAUGCUAAGAAUAAAAUAAUUAAAUUAUUAUUAUUUUUCAAAUCCAUCCCCCAUUCUUUCUUUUCAGCUUUACAAAAUCAACAAAUUGUUGGUGCAAUUUAUAGAAGAAAUGAAUUACUAUGCUAAGAAUAAAAUAAUUAAAAAUAUAAUUUUUAAUUAUUAUUAUUUUUCAAAUCCAUCCCCCAUUCUUUCUUUUCAGCUUUACAAAAUCAACAAAUUGUUGGUGCACCAACAAUUUGUUGACUUCAACAAAUUUGCACCAACAAUUUGUUGACUUCAACAAGAACUUGGUUUAUUCGACAUUUAAGAUUCUUGGCAAAGCUGCAUGGAGUGAAUUUUGGGAGCUUGAGAGUGAAAGAAGUUAGAGAAUGUAUUAGGAUUUGGGUUUAUUAGGAAGUUAUGUAUUUCAUUAUCAGUUUUUUUUUCUUUUGUAAAAAGUAAGGGUGGGCCAAAUCCAAAUAGUUUUUAUUUUCCUCUUCUCUCCCUUGAGGCUCGAACCGGGGUGGUAAUUAGCAGAGAAGUAUACGUGCCAAAAAUCUAACACAUGAAAAAAUACACAAUGAAAUUAUCUACAAUUUUCCAUUGACUUAGUCAACUCUUCAUUGAUUUCAUUGACUUGGUCAACUUAUAAUCUAACUUAACAACUUGAAAAUUAAAUUAUGCUAGUAAUUCUGUAAAAUUAAAAUUUAUCUCCACCAAAUGGUUGUGGCUCAGUUGGCGAUGCAUCUUGUUCAAACAUGCACUGAACAACGUUAUGUCUUCGUUAUCAUUUCAGAAGGAAACAAAUCAAAUGCAGCAAUUGAUGUAGGAGUUGCUGUUGGCGCUGCUAUAUUUUUUACGGACUCUCAUACCAUGGAAAAACUCAGCUUUAAAGAAUGGUAUGAUGCUUUGAUAUAUGAAGUAAUUGGUAUAUAUUUUGUACCUUCCAUACAUUUUGCUUUGUUAAUGUUAUUAUUUGAUAACAUGUUUGUCGAGUUGCACAGUGUCUAGAAUUUUGAGAUUAAGAAGAGUCUAAAUGCUAUACAAAUACACUCCUUUCAUUUUAUACAACUUUGAUUGAUCAAGUUGUAUCUCUUUGAUAAUAUGUUCUAUAUCCUUUCAUUUUAAACUUCAAUAGAGUUGCUAUCUAUUUAACUUUGGCAAGUCAGAGAGAGGACUGUCCAAUUAAAAUUAAGUUCCAAGUGCCAAUCCCACCAUUGUCGGCUCAUGUUUGCCAAAUUCAAAUUUGAAAAUCUCACCAAGUUAGUAUGAUGAUGUUGUGGGAUUGUCUCGCCUAAGUUUUUAGCCUCAUGACCUCCUUUAUUAGAAAAAGUCUUAAGUGUUCUUACUCAAUUAUAGAAUCAUAAUUUUACUUCAAUAGAAGCCAUAAUUAUUAAAAUAUAUUCUUUGGAUUAAUUACUUAUUUGAUGUUGCUCUCUCUACCUUCAUCUCCUUCUUUAUGAAAAAUUUAUUGUAAUACAUGGGAGUAUAUAUUGCAUUGAAUAAAAUGAAAUUCUUCAAAAAUUAACAAAUUCAGCUUUAUUAUAAUCUAAAACAAAGUAAAUAGAAUAAUACCCAUCAUGUAAAAAUAAAAAAUAAAAUUUUUUAUACCACUUGGAAUUUAUUUUAAAUGUUUUGGUCAAAUCUAAGAAGCCCAAACUUUGAACAAUGAUAAUAAGUAAAAACUAAUAAUCUUAUAAUAAAAAGUAAGAAAAAAAUAAAGUUGAUUUAGCAGCUAAGAAUAAAAAAAGAAAAAUAGAAAGAGAGAGAAAUUAGUUUAGGCUUUAACCAUGGUUAUAGUAGAGAAAAAAAAUUAAUUAAGAGUAAUUUUAUGACUUUUUAGAAAUGAGUGAAUUAAAAUAAUAAAUUAUAAUUUGAUAAUUAUCUUAAUUAAAAAAUGGGUGUUGAAAUAAAAUUAGUGAAUUUAAAUAGCCCGCCCAAAAUCCAAACUCACAUACCAAUAAUUUUCUAAUUUACAUAAAAUUUUUCUAUAUGUUUGAUAAAAUUUGAUUCGCAAUUGGUCUAAUGGAGAAACAACCAGCAAAAAAAUAAAAUGAAUGCAAUUACAUGGAAAUUUGAAAAGAGCAGUAGAUGACAUUUAUGUGCAAGCAAAAUGCAAAAUUGCAUUCUGUUUGUGGGAUCCUGGAAAAAAUAAAAGAAAGAAAACAGAGUAAGACGCUGAGACUGGGGGCUUUAAUAUUUUUCUAGAUGCUUCCAUGGCAGAUUCUCGUUGGUUCAUUUUUCUUUACGCCUUAGAUUCUAAUCAUUCUAUGAUUCAAUUUCAAUCAAAUACGACAAACAAAAGAAGCUUUUAAGCCUGCAGCUGAAAUAGAUGGCACUUUAAUUUUCAGCUGAGAAUCAAAUGAAAUAGAUGGUAAGAUUAUUAUUAUUGAGCUUGAUAACUGAUAAGGCUAUAGAAAAUUCAAUAUCCAGAUCGGAUAAGGAUCCAAUAAAUUAUAAAAUAUUGCGGCUCAAAGCCCAUAUGAUCAUGGGCCACCACUUGCUCAUGCUUUGAACCAAAAUUUUCUAAUGAAGUGAGGUUGGAAGCUAAAAGGGGCAAGUAAUGAAAUGGGGUUCAUCAUAUAUUGAGCCCAACGGGACAAGAUCAUCAUUUAAUUCCCUCCUCUUGUCGAUAGAUAUUUGCCGAAUUUUUUCAUUUAAAAAAUAUUAUAUUGGUUAAUAGAAUUUGAAGUUUUACAAAAUAUAAGUUUAAUUUUAAAAAAUUAUAUUUUCUAAUUUAAAAUUUUCAUUUGGUGGUUGUGUUUGAAAAAAUUUUUAGGUAUACUCGGACAUACUCUCUUAUUAUUCAUUGAAUUUGGGCAUUUAAACAUAUUAGUAUGCAGUAUUUUUAGGUAAUUAGCAGAGAAGUAUACGUGACAAAAAUAUAACAUGUGAAACAAUACACAAUGAAAUUAUCUACAAUUUUCCAUUGACUUAGUCAACUCUUCAUUAAUUUCAUUGACUUGAUCAACUCAUGAUCUAACUUGACAACUUAAAAAUUAAAUUAUGCUAGUAAUUCCGUAAAAUUAAAAUUUAUCUCUCAAAAUUGAUAAAUAUUGUGUCACUUUGUCAAAUUACUUAGGGUAAAAGCUCUGUGGCUAAAACCUUUUAAGAUUAGAUGUAUGCUAAUUGAGAAGGACAAGACACAAAACACAAAAGAAUCAAUGAAUGCCACAUCAUGUAACACUAACACUACUUACUCUUAACAAAUUCUUACAAACGUGAUUCAUGAAAUUAACUUGACCUUUUGUCUAAAAAAGGCCUAAAGAAACAUGCCAAGCAACAAAUAAAGUAGUCCAAACGUGAUUCAUGAAACUUGAUAGGCACUAUCUAAAUAGUAUUAAUAUGGCAACCAAAAACAUGCGCACAAAGUAGACUUUCUUGGACGAUCCAUGCCAAUCAGCAAAUAAAGUAGUCCAAACGUGAUUCGUGAAACUUGACUUCUUGUCUAAAAAGGCCUAAAGAAACAAGACCAAAAGUUCCAUGCAAUAGCAAUAUGGUGGCCACAAUGCACUUUUUAAGCCAUUUUUCAAAACUAAGUUUCUUCGUUUCACAUGCACUAUUCAAGCAAUUUAACAUUUUCUCCUUCCCCUGAAAGCUAUUGGAGAAAAAUUAGUUUCUUAAAUUUUAAUAAAAACUUUUAGAACCGAUCUCAUACAAUAGAUAAGAAUUCUUACUCUGGAAAUCAUACCUUGAAAAUCUGAGAAGAUGUACAAUCUUUGUUUUUUUUCCGUUGAACUGAUUUAGGCUCCCAGAUCACGAUUUGUCACCACCACACCUGUUAGAUCAUGAUCCGUCACCACCACGCCUGUUAGAUCACGAUCUGUCACCACCAUGCUUGUUAAAUCACGAUUUGUCACUAAAGAUCUUCCAAGUUAUGACUCAGAUUUGAUCUGCACUUGACGUGUGGGCACCUUUAUCACUACUAAAGCAACUAGCAAGAGAAAAUUUUUCUCUCAAAAUUAAAGAGAAAAAUUCUUUUUCUCUAAAUUGUAUAAUACGACUCUAUCUUUUUUCUUUAAAGAAAAUAAGUCUUUUUAUAUCUCCCUUUAGUGAAAACGCUACGCUCCAAAUAAUAAAAACCAAAAGUCAUUUUACUUGCUUUUUCUAUAGGGGGCCCACCUUAUUAAAUAACAUAAGGUCCCUUACACACAAGCAUAUUAAAUGGAGCCUCCCACUAAAUGAUAUAUUUAGAUUUUUUACCCAAAUAGCUAGUUAUCUUGCUUAUUAAUUUAGUAGUGGUGCAGUCAAUUAAAUGAGCUAACAUGUGGAUCAUUUGGAAACAUAUAAUAGUGGCUACAAUAAUUAGGCUUGUAAUUAAACUAACCCAAUCAUUUAAUUCUAAAUCUACUCCACUAAAAGAUUGGAACUGACCUCCAUAAUUGUAUACUCGAAUAAUAAUUCGUCCCAAACCACAUUGAUUUUUUUACUGCAUAAUCCUUUGUACCACAUCGUUAAUUAAAUCAAUAUCUCAAUUGUCCAAUCAAUUUAAUUAUAUCUUGUUCUUUGAUACUUACUAGUUUUCUCUAAUGAUCAUUUUCAGCAUACUAAAUAUGUUGACACACUCUGGCCAGAGAAUUUUAUGAUCAAGUGCCGAAAACCCAUUAAGAGAUGUAUUGUACAAAUUCUAUAUUGUUAAUCUAUAACUCCAAUACUCAUAAUUGCUCCCACCAAGAUACCGGGUAAUCUUGACUACAAGUGUGUGUCGUGCCCAUUGGUAACUGAAAUAAAAAUCAAUUACAAUCAUGAAAUUAUAACUAACUCAAGAUUAAAAUUAUAGUAAAAUCAAUGCCUAUGAGAUUUAAUAAGUCUGACAGUCAUUUCAAGGUUAAUUAAAUCUUAUAUGUGAUCCAAUUCAAUGUAGUCAAACUACAUCAGUAAAUUCAUGCAUGAUUAAGACAAAUCAUUCAAUGAAUUUACUACAGUCUAAACAUAAAUAGAACACUCAACUAUAUUUAUUAACUGCAAACUUAAUUUAUUUAAUUAUAAGAUAACUUGUAUUUAUGUCUUCUGUGAAUCCAUAUAAUAAUCACAUAAAUACAUAUAAUAUGAUUAAACAGAUCUUAUUCAAUAUAUUUAUGCAAUUGAAAAUAUCUCAAAUAUUUUAUUAAUCAGAAAAUUAAUUUACUUUAAAAGAUCACAUAAUCCCAACAAAAUUAAAUUGAUACUCAGCAAGACCACGUCACAAUGCAUCACUUUUGGAAAGUAAUUUAGCAAUUUCCAAUGCCUUAGCUGAUUAAUGGCUUGACCAUGUGACGAUUGGUCCACAUUAUGCACAUAGCAAGAUCAAAGAAAAUAUCACAGCUAGCUCGACGACUACUAGCCAAAAUAAGAAGACAAUGACGGCCAGUUACAAACUCUUUACGAAGGAAAUAUGAAUAUCCCUCCUAAUCACUUUCUUAUAUUAUCAUUAUUUUGUACAUAUAACAGAACACGUUCUCUCUUGUAAAGAAGUCAAGAAAACGGUUUUAGUUUUCAUAUCAAUAAUGGAAUCCAAAAUCUUUCACAGCUUGCUUCUCCUUUGGACGCUUGAAAGACUUUCUUACCUGGCUAAAACUGUGAAAAUUGUUCAAACUAAUUUGAUUGAAAACUUUCUGACACUAUAAUGUAUUAUGUAUAUGAAGGCUACAUUAAAAUGUGGAAUAAAAAUGAGUGCUUAUAUUAAAAAACAAUCAGUCUCAUUGCGUCCUCUUUCAUUGACAUAGGUAAUUUGCGGUCAACUCGUGGCACUCUUAUUGACACGCAAAGAACUUACAUGAGGAGUUGUUUGAUUUUAUGUUUCAAAUUAAGUACCAUAGCAUUACUACUUCUAUAAAUAACUCAUUUGAGCUUCGAGCCUGUUAUUUGUAUUUUACGUUUUUGUUUCUCUUCAUAAAGAUUUUUUUUUUCCAUUCUCUUUUUCUUCCACUUUCUCGACUCCCAAACACCACCAGUCUUUGAUUUUCCUAGAGUAUUAACUGUCCGUUUACACGAACAUAGACCGACUGUUUGUCUAAUUACUGUCAAGAAACAGCAUACUCUGUCUCGGGGUCUCUUCGUUUAUUGACUUCUCACUUGUGAACGGGCUUAUUAAAGGGCGUUCCUUCCUUCAAGAAAGAAUGCCAAGAAAGUACCAUCCAUUAGACACGUUAAGAAUUAUUUUACAUUAAAAAUGAUAAUAAUCAUAAUAAUCGGUUUAGUGCUACCCCGUUAUUAGGUCAUGAGUGUCCGAUUGUCUUCGCUUUCAUUGACUUCGCAACUGUGAAUUCUAAGCCGAGUUAAGGAUUGACAAAAUGUUAUAACCCAUAAAGCACGGAUAAUUAAUUAAUGGGCCACUGAUUUCUUCUUUAAAGGCUAAUUCUUGGGAAAGAUCAGAAAGUUCUCAAAUAAAAAUUCGGCUUUGUGGAAAUUAAAUUAAAAGCAAUUAAGCAUUAUAAAUUACUUAACAGCUUAAUCGAGUUUGGUUUUGAAAAAUAUAUCUUUAGAUCUCUUGUAAUUAAAGAUAAUUAUCAUAUUACCGUCUCAAAUGGACCGAUUUCAAUCAAAUGAAAUCUAGAAAAUUGAGCAGCUCAUUGAUGUAUUUGGUCGAACUUGUGUCAGAGUCUUCGUUUUAGAAGAGUGCACAGCAGCUGCCAGGUCCACUUGGCAGUUGGCACGCCAAAAAUUUUCUGUUGACCAAUAAUUUUGAAAGGGAUAUUAUUAAUUUACUAUCAAAUAUUUUCGAACACAUCACUUUACUAUCAAAAUUUUUUGACAAUAAUUUUUUGUCACUUAAUAUUUCAAUUUUUAUCAUUUUAUCAUCAAAAAAUAGUAAAUGCAUGCUUAGUGUAAGUUAUCCAUAAAAAUGGUUGUUGAAUUGUCUUGUUUCUCAUUUGGUUUAAUUUUCAUAAAUUCGACUCACACAAUUCAAUUAUGUGUGAAGAGUUUUUUUUGGGAAAAAUCUGGUCUUCCAUUUACUAGAAUCAGGUCUGAAUGAUUUUAUUAUUUUUCUUUUGUUUGAAAUAUACGUGGAAAAUGUUGAACACUUUGUAGGAUUUAGAAGAAUUUGAAAGUUUGAAUGCAUAUAGUUUACUAUCCAUCAGAUAAUGCAUAUUCUGUAUUUUAUGAAAUCAAAGCUGGUUGAUUGAGAAAUGGACCUUAUUACAUGUCAUAAGAUUUUACAGUGCUUUCUAAUGGAGCAAAAUAAAAUGAUUCUUACCUGGACAGAAAAUUAGAAACGAAAAGGAGGGUUACUGAUCCACAGAGUUGUUAUUUACGAGAAGCACAUAGAUAUUGCACUUAAUUUAUUAUCCAUCUGUAUUGUUUAGAUGACACUGAAGUAUUACCUAAAUUAGCCUUUCAAAACUUCAUUUUCAAAAAUCUAUGGUUGUGAUGCGUCUCUAUAAACUCACUCGUACAAAUUCUAUCUUUUAGUAUUUUUGUGUAUUUUUGUGCACGUACAAGUAGCAUUACAUGUCAUUAGCAAUUAGUCUAGAGUGUUCUGAUUUUUUCUAAUAAGUAGCAUUACAUGUCAUAAGAUUUUUUCUGAUUUUUUUUCACAUAUUCAAUUUCUCUUCCAUUUUCCCGACUCCCAAACACCACCUAUCCUCGGUUUUCUAGAGUAUCAGCUAUCUCUAUCUACAAACACAAAACUGCUAUUUACUUUCAAGAAACAACGUAUUCUGUGGCUUAUUGACGCGCACGGGGCUAAUUGUCUCCUCUUUCAUUGACUCUGUCAAUUCAUGACUUUGACGCGCACGGUAGCUGCUAACUGCCUUCGCCAUUGGACGUGCAAAACACUUUCUUGAGUCGGGUUAAAAUUAAUUGAUCAUUUUAUUUGGUGAUAAUGACUUAGUUGUCAAGUCAUGAGUUUGAUGAUGAGGAGGACGAAAAAUAUUAUUUUAUUAUUUAAAGUAAGACUAUCAAUUAUUUCCAGAGUGCUGAUAGAUGCCCCGGGUCAAACCCCGGGUCAAGCCCCGAAUCUUUAAUAAAACGACGCCGUUUUGUUAAUUUUUUGGGUCGUUUCAAUUUUUUUUUGAAACAACGUCGUUUUGCUUGAGCAUUCUAGCUCUGUAUCAAACUCAUCUUUCUCUUGUAAUAAAGAAACAGAAAAAACUCAUCUUUCUCUUUCGAUUUUUCACUUCACCACAUAACCCAACUACAUAACCCCAACUGCAAAAUCCCUCAAGCUGUUAUCUUCCUUCUGCAUAAACGAUCUUUCUCUUUCAGUCUUGUUAUGCCAAAACACUAGAAAGAAAUAUCAUGUACCUGCAGAAUUGAAUAAAUAAUUGAACAAGGGAGGCUGGCAGAUUUAGUUAAAGCGUGAUGUCCAAAGUGACAGUUCCACAUAUGGCAAACUUCCCAAAGGAUUGCUAGUUCCAUCCCAUUAUAAUUUGAAAACAAUGAUUAUGUAGUUGAAAACAGAUUUAGUUUUUAUAUAAUAUGUUGAGUCGAAAAUUGCAAUUUAUUACUUACAAUUACUAAUCUCUGUCACUGGUGGCAGUGGUGAUGGUAGUGGCGGUGGUUGGCUGUCGGUGGUGGUUGUUUCAGUGGCUGCGUACGCAUGGAUUCUGGAUUCUGGAUGGUGGAUUGAGGACUUUGAAUGGCUGUGCUGCACUUAAUCGAUAAAGAAAAGGGGCUUGGCAAAACGGUGUGUUUCAUUUUCGGGGUCUGACCUGGGAUUUGACCCGAGACAAACAUCAUUUUCCUUAUUUCCAUGGUCAUCUUAUUUUCUAAAAUAACUAAAUGGAAUCUUACAGAAUUAGAGUGCUUGACUUCUUCAUACAGUGCUUGACUUCUUUUUACAGAAUUAUAAAGUGAAAAAAGAAAUUAAGAAAUUAAAUACUUUUCAUGCGAGUGGAGAAGAUUGGGUAGCGAUUACAUUAAAUAAAUAAUAAUAAUUUAAAAGUACAGCACUUUAAUAAUCUGAUUCCCAAUCAUAUCGGUAUAAAAAAUUCUGUAGAUUUAUUGAAUAACUAUUGAUUUUACUUUUGUAAUUUCUUUCUAAAAGUAAGGUAAACAUUUUUAUUUUCUUUGCAUUCGAGCUUUCUUUCUUUUGCGCUGGCCUUCACACUCUUGACCGUAUUUCAUGGGGCACAUUCAAUCUCAAUCUUCUGCAAGUUUGUGGCAGUUUUUUUAAUUACGAACUUUUGUAGGAUUUUAUGGAGAUGAUACUUUUAUAUACAUUUUUCUUUUCUUUUUUUCUUCCGUGAACAAAUUAAAAAUUUAUUUUUUGUCAUCAUGACUAGUGAAGUAGUAGAAUUGAAUUACUUAUAAUUAAAAGAACUAAAAACAACUAAAAUUGGAAAUAACACUAAUUUUAUUAAUGAAAAUAAUUAUACAAAAUAUUAAAAACAUACCUGGAAAUCAAGAUUACAAGGAGAUGGAGAGAAUUUGAGAAGAAGAGAGUUGUAGAGAGAUGAUUAAAAUAUAAAAAUGAGGCUCUAUUUAUAGAAAAAUAAACUCAUAAUCCAGUGCUUUGCAGUCCAUCAUAGGCUUCAUGCAUGUGCUCCUCACAACCCUUAGAUCAAGAUCCAAUGGCUGGUCAAACUUCAAAAGUCAACAUCACACAUGGCAUCAUUUGACUCGUCCGAUUUGCCCAAAGAACGGUUGAGAUUUGGCGGGUUAAUGGGUGGAUCGGGUCGACCCGAAUACAAAGAUUCGGAUCCUCCAACUUGCUUCACCAACCAUUGCCACGUGGCACAAUCAUAGCCAUUGAAUCAUGAACAGUUGAGAUUUAGUCAAGAUUGUCAGUUAUCCCAUGCACUCAUAUCUAUUGUAAGCUCAUUUCAUCAUCCAAUCAGUGCUCGGUCAACAGGAAAAGUCAACUUUUUUUACGCAAGCCUAAUUUUAAGCCGAUCUUGACUGAUCUUAAGGUUUUCGGACCUCCGGAAUCCAAAUUUGACCUCCGUUUAUCUGUUUGGAGCCUCGAAGUACGUGAAAUUAAUAUUUUUCCUAAUAAACACAUAAAAAUACACAAAAUUAAAUAUAUUUAAAACAUAAUUAAUAAUUCAUAAUAUAUUACAUAAACACAAAUAUAAAUUAUAACAUAAGCAUAAAAUAACAUAUUAUCGCUUGAUAAUUAAACAAUUUUUAAUACUAAUCAACUCCAAAAGACACGUUAAUUUAGAGUCUUCAAAUAAGAUUUAUUUCCCACUCUUCAAUAUUGCCGAGUGAGUUUCUCACUCUUCUGUUAAUAUUUUAUUAUUAUUUAUUGAAAAGAUAAGACUGCAAUAAUUAUUAUUUAUGUUUCCUUUAAAAAACAUAACAGCAAUUCAAUUUGAUAGUAGGAAAGAUUUAAUUAAAAUAAUAUUAACUUAUUCUUAUUUGAUGAGUCUUUGGGAGGAGAUUAUAUUUUUCUAUACACUUAUUUGCCACAUCAGUAAGCAAAUUAAAAUUUGAAGAAUAAAAUCUUAAAAGUCUUUUGGAGAUGCUCUUAGUAGGCCGUUACAGAUGCCAUACUAGCAAGCGUGCUAUGACUGAUUGCUAUUUGCACGUAAAAUUUGCCCAAAACAAAUAGAAUGAGAAUACUUGUACGAAAGGACAAGAUUAAUAAAGUGAAUAAAUUUUACCUUUUAGUGAAUGCUUCUUGUCUUUUAGAGUUUUAGUGCAUUUUCGUGUGUAAUUUUAUGUGCAAAUAGCAUUACUCAUUAGUAAUUAGUCUAGAGUGUUCUAAUUUCUUCUAAUAAGUAGCUGAUUUGAGCUUAAGACUUGUAUUUUAAGUUUUUACUACUUUCUAAUAAAGAUUUUCUCUGUUCUUUUUUACUUUCACUUUCUCUUCCAUUUUCCCGACUCCCAAACACCACCAAUCCUUGAUUUUCUAGAGUACGGCUAUGCAGUUCUACAAACACGAAACUGCUGUUGGUCCAAUUACUUUCAAGAAACAACGUACUCUGUGGUUUAUUGACUUGUGACAUGGGCAAAUUAGUCACGGUCCGAUUCUCUCCUCUUCCACUGACUCUGUCAAUUCAUGACUUUGGCACACAGUAGAAGCCAGCUGCCUGCUCCAUUUGACGUGCAAAAAACUUUCUUGAGUCGGGCUAAAAUCGAUUAAUUAUUUUGUUUGGUGAUGAUGAGUUAGUUGUCAAUUCAUGAGUUUGAUGCAGUGAAACACUUAACGCUCUCUUGUGAUGAGUAGGAGAAAAGCCAGCGAUGAUGAAGAGGACUAAAAACAUUAUUUUGUUAUUUACAAUAAGGCUAUCAAUUAUAUAUUCCAAAAUAAUUGGGUUUGGAUGGUCAUUUUGUUUUCUAAAAUAUCCAAAUGGAAACAGAAUUUAUAAAGUGGGAAAAUCAAGAAAUUAAAUACUCUUCAUAUAGUGGAAGGAGAUUUGGUUGCCGUUAUACUAAAUAAAAGAAAAAUAAAGUAAAAUAACAAUACUUUAAUAAUCUCAUUCCCAAUCGUACCGGAAAUAAAAUUUUCUGUAUAUUUAUGAAAUAAUUACUGAUUGGUGCAAGAGAUUGGUGGGACUCAUUUGAUUCAAGAAAAACAAUCAGUCUCAUUUGAUACGCAAAGAGCUUUUCUACUCUGUAGCCAAUAUUUUGAUGAAUGUGACGUUACUGGUUUGUAUAAUUUGUUGGAUAUUAUCUCAAUUUUACUUCUGUAGGUUUGUGGUUUGUAUAUUAUCUCAAUUUUUAAAAAAAUGUAAUUGCAAUUAUCAAACACGACUAAUCCCAACAAUUUAUCCAAAAAAUUUUGUUUCAAGAAAUGUAGCAUUUAUGAUAGAAUGGCUAAUUUUUUCAAUCGACUUUCUGGACAAAUGAUAAUUUUUUGAUAGAAAUAUUACUUACUUAUUACAGGAAGAAAAUUAUAGAAUAAUUUUUUGAAUUAAUAGUAUUACUUUACGAUAACACUAUCACAAUAUAAUUUUUUUUAAAAAAUAAAGUUAUUCUUUAAAUUUCGCACUACUAUUCCUACUUUUCUUGUUAUACUACUUAAUGGCACUGGUGAAGCCUCGAAUUAUCAAACAAAAGGCAAAAAUAGUUCAAUAUCUGCUGUCCCACUGAGCAUUGUUAAAUUCAUACGAUAAAAUGAGUACUUAUAUUAAAAAAACAAUCGGUCUCAUUACGUGCUCUUUCAUUGACAUAGGCAAGUUGCGGUCAACUUAUGGCACUUUUAUGAAUUUUCAAGACUGGUGAAUUUUUCAAAUUUCAAAGAAAAAAAUACAGAAAUGUAAUUUCAAUUUAUCCAAAAAUUUGAGUUUCACGGAAUAUAGCAUUUGUUAUAUGUCAUGUUAACAUAGAGAAGAAAAUUUUAAAAACUUCUUUUUGGAUGAAUAAAAGUAUUUUCUGAUAAAUAUUUCGCAAUCAUAUUUAAAAAAUUUCACUCCUCUUGGUACAUAAUUUAAGAAUUUAACAUUAUAAAUUAAUCUUUUUAACCAAAGUAAUAAUCUCUCCUCGGGUCUGCAAAUGCUAAAAUUUAAUAUUAUAUCUGUUGAUGAUAUUUGCUCCAAAUUCACGAAAAUAAAAUUUCGAACAGAAUUAUGAAAUUCGUUACUAGAAAUUUGUAUAAAAGUUGUGAGAAUAGAAGGUUUGAUCAUAGGAAAUUAAUAUAUCCUUAUCCGAUGCAAAAAUGAUUGUAAAGAAAAACAAAAGUCACGGGCUUAUUUAGAAGAAAAGAAAAAAUUACAUUCCAUUUUCCAGUUAUUAAAGUAAUUCUAAAAUCGCUAGGAUCACAAAGGAUAGGCUUUCGUUGACUGAGGUCAGCCUUAACGCAUGCCGGUCUUUUUCUCCUCUACAUUCUUAAAAAUUUUGGUUUCACUAUAAAUACUCGGUAUAUAGCAAACUUAUAAGUGUUCUUGCAUUACCAAUCCAACUAAGCACACGCUUACAAUAUAAAUACUCUCAUCUCAUGGAAAGAGUUCAUUCUCUCAGGAUGAUGAGCAGAUUUCUCUUACUCCAUUGUUUGAUUCUUAUUUCCUUAUUUAUCGCGGCAGCAGCAGCCAACACAAGUUCUACUAUCACAGACCGAGAUGGUUUGUUAGCCCUGAAAGCUCACAUAACUCAUGAUCCGACCAAUUUCUUGGCUAAGAAUUGGAACACAAGUACUCCUGUCUGUAAUUGGACAGGUGUCGCUUGUGAUGUCCAUAGCCAUAGAGUCACAGUCUUGAAUAUUUCAAGCUUAAAUCUCACAGGCACCAUCCCUUCUCAACUUGGGAAUCUUUCUUCUCUGCAAUCACUCAAUCUCAGUUUUAAUCGACUUUCUGGUUCCAUUCCCUCCGCCAUCUUCACCAUGUAUACACUGAAAAAUGUUAGCUUCCAUGAAAAUCAGCUCUCUGGGCAAAUUCCUGCAAAUAUUUGCAGUAGUCUUCCUUUUCUUGAAUUUUUUUCUUUGUCCAAAAACAUGUUCCAUGGCGGAAUACCGUCCACUCUAUCAAAUUGCACAUAUUUAAGAAUCUUAAGUCUGGCAUACAAUGAUUUCUCGGGAGCCGUACCUAGAGAAAUCGGUAAUUCGACCAAACUUAAGAUAUUAUAUCUUGGCCGUAACAGACUCCAAGGUGCGCAUGAUCACGAAGUUUAAUUAUGAAAAUUGUUGCAUAAGUUGUAGUAUGAAUAAUGUUCCAUAAUACAGUUUACACACGUUGAUUAAUUUGCAGGAGAAAUUCCUCGAGAGUUUUGCAAUCUUACGGAAUUGGAGCAGAUGUCGUUGGCAGGCAACAAUCUCCAUGGCAUGAUUUUAAACUUUUUGCUAUUUUAUUUUAGCUAUGCUUGCUUCUGUAUUCAUUCGCUUGUUCUUUGAUUAUGCGAUGGUUUAUUGUUUUUCUUUCAGAUAGAGAUAAAGCUCCAUGUCUCCCCUCACUCAUUUCAUUCUUUAAAUUAUGCAGAUAAAAAAAAAAGAAUGUUCUGUAAUUUUCUUUUGUCAUAUUACCACUUCCAUUUUGAAGCUUCCAAUUAAGUCGAUGAAAAUAAAUGAUGUUUCAUUCUUAUUCUUGUCAGCCUAAUUCUUAUAUAAUUGAAGAGUAAAUUGUUAUUACGAUAUUCGUCGGCCAAUAAAUUCUUCUUUUUUUCCCCCAAAUAUGAGUGAUCAAAUUGUUUGCGCAUAUAUAAAUGUACUUAAUUUGCAGGAGGUAUUCCACGGGAAUUGGGGAAUCUUACAAAAUUGGAGAGGUUACAACUGUUCGAGAAUAACUUGACCGGUAACUUUCUUUACAAUAUAUGUACGAGACAUCUUCCGCUUUUUAUUAGAAAUUAUAAAUUCAAGUUAAAUCUUAAUUAAAAGAUUUCAAGUCUCUCAUUACAUAUUCUCACAUGAGGAUGUGUCGUUACCAUUAUCUAACAUUAUUCCGUUUUUUAUUAGAAAUUAGUUUGUGUUAAUUCGUGGAAUAAAUCGUCAAUCUUUCUUCUUUACUGAAUUUGGAUUUCUCAAAAAUUAUCUCAACAAGUAUGCCUCACUAAUGAUAUGCAUGUGUGACAACUUCAUAAAAUAUUUUACAUGAAAUCACUAAUUAUCUUUAAAUAAUCAGAUAUGCCAUCACUGAUACAUAAUGUCUUAACAAGCAUCAUACCAAAAGAAAUCAACAAUUUUAUUAAUCUUAAAGAGUUACAUCUUCACUGCAAUUAUAACAUAAAUUUUUAGUCAUAUCGCAUAAUAUUUUAUCUUAACGGAUGAUGUUCAGUCUUUGAAAAUAAGAAAUUGUUCAUGUGCUAAAAAGUUAACUUAGUAUUUAAAGUUUUCCAAUUGAAAAUUUUGAAAAAAGCGUUGAGAACUGGCGCUCCAUAGUAUUUCAGCGGAUAAAUAUGAAAAAUAGGCUAGAAGAAAUUAUUUUACUGAAAUAAGAGUUAAAAAGAGAGGAGAAGUACAGUAUUCAUGACUUCGGCUUUUUGUGUGUGCUUAUUCUACUUGGGCUUUGGGCUUGAUUACGCCCGUUAUAAUAAUAGGCUUUUACUUUCACCACCCAAUUAGGUUAUAGCAAUUUAUAUAUAAAUAACUAAAGCAUGCUUAAUGUCACGGGACGAGAGGUUUCGAACCCGUGCGGCACUCUCGCAUCCCAUACUACGAGAGUAAGCCUAGUGGAAAUGGCACAAUGUCGACUGGUUUCGCCCUGCCUUGGGUUCAUCAGGAGAACGGCUUCAGUUCCCAACCAGUGUGCGUCAGGAUUUUCUUAGACCCCUCUUCAGCAUUAAGUCCUCGACUAGCGACAAGCUCCCCAAACUCAACCGGGUCGGCCUGCCUGAACUCCAAAGAGUCUAGGGCAUUGUAUUCCCCACACACACAUUCCUGAAGCACAUCUCCAACAAUCAGCACAACCAUCAUCGACACUAGCGUACAAGCGCAUAUCUUGGGUGCCACGAUUGCGGUCCGUGACAUUAAGCUAGCAUUGAUGUACGGAUGAGUGGCGUCAAAAGUGUAUCUGUUUUUAUGUAUUAUUUAUUCUCUAAAACAUAUCUAAAUACAAUUCUUUCAAAAUACCGACGAAAUAGCACAUGAAAUCGGAAAUAUUUUAUUGCGAUGAGAAUUCGUAUAUUCAUUGUAGUAGAACAUAUAAAAUAGAGUAUAAAUUUAUUAUUCUUUGAAACAAACCUGAUUAUAAUUCCUUCAAAAUUAAGUUUGUCAUUAAAUGAUUUCUCAGGAGCCCUACCAAAAGAAAUCGGGAAUUUGACCAAACUCAAGCAUUUAUCUCUUGACCAUAACAGGCUCCAAGGUGCGCAUGAUUACAGAGUUUAAUUAUGAAAAUUGUUGCAUAAGUUGUAGUAUGAAUAAUGUUCCAUAAUACAGUUUACACACGAUGAUUAAUUUGCAGGCGAAAUUCCUCGAGAGUUUGGCAAUCUUGCCGAAUUGGAGCUGUUGUCGUUAUAUGAAAACAAACUCCAAGGUAUGAUUUUAAACUUUUUGCAAUUCUUAUAUUGUUGAAGAAUUAAUUGUUAUUAUGACAUUUUGAGAUUAAUUGUCAUAGGAGGAUGUGUUGUUAUUACUAUUUAACAUUAUCUCGUUUUUUAUUAGAAAUUAGUCUGUGUUUAUGCAAAAAAAUUUAGCUUCUAAAAAAAGUAUAAAAACACAUGGAAUAAAUCGAAAAUCUUUCUUCAUUACUGAAUUUGGAUUUCUCAAAAACUACCAUGAUAGUUAUGUUAGUGUCUUACUAAUGAUAUGCAUGUGUGACAGCUUCAUAAAUUAUUUUACAUGGAAAAUAUGAAAAAUAGACUUGAAAAAAAAUUAUUUUACUGAAAUAAUAGUUAAAAAGAGUGGAGAAAUACAAUACUCAUGACUUAGGCUUGCUGUGUACUUAUUUUGCUUGGGCUUCGGGCUUGAUUACACACGGUUGAACACUUACAUCCCCCGACAUAGGCUUUUAGGGAUGAGUGGCGUUAAAUGUUUAUCUACUUUUAUGUAUUAUUAUUCUUUGAAACAAAUCUGAUUAUAAUUCUUUUAAAAUACAGAUUAAAUAGCACGUGAAAUCGGAAAAUAUUUUACUGCGAUAAGAAUUCAUAUAUUCAUUGUACUAGCACAUAUAAAAUAGACUAUAAAUUUAUUUCCAAAAUACAUUCUUAUCUUCAUAUAAAUUUUACAUUAUUAAUUUAAAUUAAUAUUAAAAUAUGUUGUUUCUUUCACUAUGUUAUUUUAUUUACACAAUGAUGUGACUAUUGGAAUUAAUAAUACUUUUAAUUAUUUUGUAAAAAUAUAAAUUUAAUACUUUGUUAACAUUUUAUCUACAUAUAAUAAUUAAACUGAAACUUGUAUUUAAAAAAUUCUAGUUACGCAUAUUCAUUUCAUGACAUAAAGUGUAUAUUUAUGCUAAUUUACCAUUAUCAAAAAAAUGCUUUGAGACAAAUAAUCUAAUUUAUAUUUUUAUAUUUAAAAUACUUGCAUUUAUUAUAUUUUGAAAAAAAUUUAUUUGCAAUUAUUUUAAACCGUUGGAUUCAAAUUUUCAUUAUUAUUAAAGUCAAAUGGUAUAAAUGUAUAAUAGUCAAAAACAUAUUUGUAUGAUCAUUUUUCAAUGUAUAAAUUUUCUUAGUUAGUAGGAAAAUUAGAAAUUGUUGAUUUACUCAUAAAUAAAUUUAAUGUUUAGCAUUUCAAUUUUGGAAAAUUUGAGCUACACGUUGAUAACUUUGAAUCGGUCGAGCCGAGUUUCACUUCCUUGAUCCAUGGACCAAUUGAAAGUUCUAUUCGAACUGAGUUUCCUGGUGCUUAUAAAAAGCAUUUCUUUUCCUUAUCGCAGUAAUUUAUUCACAAAUGAGUUGAUUAGCAUCGAAGUUACCUGAGAGUCUGAGACUAUGUUAAUAGGAGAAAUUUGAAAAGAAAUUAUUUUACUGAACUAAUUUAUUUUAUCUUGCUGUAACUGAAAUACUACUUUUUUUUUGGGGCUAUCACUGGGGCUUGAUUUACUUUAAUAGUAGCAGCCACCGACUUAGUCAUUUUUUACUUCUCACCACACAAUUUGAUCUUUUAAUUCGUUUUAACCACAUAAUCUAUCUAUCUAUUUCUCACCUAUUGCUUACUUAAAACGCAUACAUAUUUUACCUACUAAUUUUUACAAAUAUUAAUCAAAUAUAUUUUAUUACGUUUCUCUCGUAACUGCUCCAAAUGUGUACAAUUAAUACUUAACCCUCCCUUUUAAUUUAUUGUGCAAUCUAUCUAUCACUUAAGUCACAUAUAUAUUUUACCUAUAUUUUACCCUAAAAAAUAUAAAAAUAAAAGAAAAAGAAUAUGUGUAGCAAUUUGCAUAUAACUAACAAAGCAUUGACGGUGUGUAGCCUUUCAAAACUUCACGACUAGCUUUUCUUGUGUGUUAGUACUUGUAAUAAUUGUGUAGUGUAUAAAUGACAUUUUAUUAUUAAAGUGUGUCCAUUUUUAGAUAUUACUUAUUAUUUGAAAAAUAAACUGAAUAUAAUCAUUUAAAAUACAGGGGAGAUACCACUUGAAAUCGGUAAUCUCCAAAAUCUGGAGGAGUUGGGCCUUGGUCAAAACAAAUUAAUUGGUACUGUCCCAGUUGCAAUCUUUAAUGUGUCAACACUCAAAUUUCUUGAGCUUCAAGAUAAUUCUCUCUCGGGAAGUCUUUCGUCCAUCGUAGAUGUCCGACUACCAAAUCUUGAAAAGCUUCUUUUGUGGGGUAAUAAUUUUAGUGGCACAAUUCCUCAUUUCAUCUUUAAUGCUUCUAAGCUCUCUAUACUAGAGUUAUCACAGAACUCAUUCGCCGAUUUUAUUCCCAACACAUUUGGCAACUUACGAAACCUUCAGCGGCUGAAAUUAUAUGAUAAUUAUUUGACAUCUUCAACUCCAGAGUUGAGCUUUCUAUUCUCGUUGUCAAAUUGCAAGUCUUUAACACAUCUUUCCUUAUCAAAUAAUCCACUAGAUGGCAUUCUUCCAAGGACGUCUGUCGGUAAUCUUUCUCAUUCUUUGAAAGAAUUUUACAUGUCCAAUUGUAAUGUUAGUGGCGGCAUCCCUGAAGAGAUCACCAACUUGACCAACUUGACAACCAUUUUUUUUGGGGGCAAUAAAUUGAAUGGAUCAAUUCCGAUUACUCUCGGAAAAUUACAGAAGCUUCAAGGUUUGGGUCUUGAAGAUAACAAAUUAGAAGGAUCAAUCCCAGACAAUAUUUGUCGUUUGACUGAACUGUAUGAGUUGGAGUUGGGUGGCAAUAAGCUUUCUGGAUCAAUCCCUGCAUGCUUCAAUAAUCUGGCUUCUCUGAGGAUACUGUCGUUGGGUUCCAAUGAGUUAAAUUCUAUUCCCUUAACUUUUUGGAACCUUAAGGAUAUCUUGCAACUCAAUUGUUCAUCAAAUUUUUUUACUGGCCCACUCCCAUCGGAGAUUGGAAAUUUGAAGGUUUUGGUUGGAAUUGAUUUUUCGAUGAAUAAUUUUUCAGGCGUUAUCCCAACAGAAAUUGGAGGCCUAAAAAAUCUAGAAUAUCUCUUCUUAGGAUAUAACAGAUUGCAAGGAUCAAUUCCUAAUUCAUUUGGUGACUUGAUAAGUUUGAAAUCCUUGAAUUUGUCUAAUAAUAAUCUCUCUGGAGUUAUUCCUGCAUCUUUAGAGAAACUCUCAUAUCUUGAAGAUCUAAAUCUUUCUUUCAACAAGCUGGAAGGAGAAAUUCCUACGGGAGGAUCUUUUGGAAACUUUUCAGCUGAAUCAUUUGAGGGAAAUGAAUUAUUAUGUGGUUCACCCAAUUUACAAGUCCCGCCAUGCAAAACUAGCAUCCACCGCACAUCAUGGAAAAAUUCUCUUCUCCUCGGGAUUGUCUUGCCAUUGAGUACUACAUUUAUGAUGGUAGUCAUUUUGUUGAUCCUAAGAUAUCGACAGAGAGGAAAACGGCCAUCGAAUGAUGCUAGUAUGCCACUAGUAGCAAUGUGGAGAACGUUUUCAUACCUAGAACUCUGUCAAGCAACAGACGAAUUCAGUGAAAACAAUCUAAUCGGCAAAGGGGGUUUUGGCUCUGUUUAUAAGGCGAGACUUGGGGAUGGGAUGGAGGUUGCAGUGAAAGUUUUCAAUUUGCAAUGUGGAAGAGCAUUGAAGAGUUUCAAUGUUGAAUGUGAAAUGAUGAAAAGUAUUCGUCAUCGAAACCUUAUCAAAGUUAUUAGCAGUUGUUCAAAUGAAGAGUUUAAAGCGUUGGUAUUAGAAUACAUGCCUCAUGGAAGUUUGGAGAAGUAUCUGUAUUCAAGUAACUGCAUUUUGGAUAUUUUUCAAAGAUUGAACAUAAUGAUAGAUGUUGCAUCAGCUUUGGAAUAUCUGCACUUUGGUUAUUCAGCUCCAAUAAUUCAUUGUGACUUAAAGCCCAGCAAUGUAUUAUUAGAUGAUAAUAUGGUUGCUCAUUUGAGUGAUUUUAGCAUCGCAAAAUUGUUAGUUGGAGAAGAUCAAUCUAUGACUCAAACACAAACAUUUGCCACAAUAGGCUAUAUGGCACCAGGUUUGUCAAUAUAAAAAUUUUCUAUUUCUUGUAAACUUCCUAAUAAGUUAUUUAUGUUUCAUGAUCUUCAUUAGAUGAGGAAAUUCUUAUUAAUGAUAUAUCUUACUAUGUAACUAUUGCAAUUCAUAGAGUAUGGAAGAGAAGGACGAGUAUCCGCAAAUGGAGAUGUUUAUAGUUUCGGGAUUAUGUUAAUGGAAACUUUUACUGGGAAGAAACCCACAGAUGAAAUUUUUAACGGAGAAAUGACAUUAAAGCAUUGGGUUAAUGAUUGGCUUCCCAUUUCC
rnacentral:lncRNA from 1 species